rnacentral:rRNA from 1 species
AUUGAACGCUGGCGGCAGGCCUAACACAUGCAAGUCGAGCGAGCGGCGGACGGGUGAGAAAUGUCUGGGAAACUGCCUGAUGGAGGGGGAUAACUACUGGAAACGGUAGCUAAUACCGCAUACCAUAAGAUGUGACCAGAUGGGAGUAGCUAGUAGGGGGGGUAAUGGCCCACCUAGGCGACGAUCCCUAGCUGGUCUGAGAGGAUGACCAGCCACACUGGAACUGAGACACGGUCCAGACUCCUACGGGAGGCAGCAGUGGGGAAUAUUGCACAAUGGGCGCAAGCCUGAUGCAGCCAUGCCGCGUGUGUGAAGAAGGCCUUCGGGUUGUAAAGCACUUUCAGCGGGGAGGCGUUACCCGCAGAAGAAGCACCGGCUAACUCCGUGCCAGCCGCCGCGGUAAUUC